AUUCAAAAGUUAGGUUCUUCUACGGUUAAUAAAAAUCUUUCUCUUCGUUUUAAAGAGAGAAAAAUGCUCUCUCCUCCUUGUUACAAACCCAAAUCUUUCAAAGGGAAGUUGAGAUUUUUGUUCUUCUUUUCUUUUGUUGUAAAUUAAGUCUUCGAUCCUUAGGAUCGAUUUCUCUUCCGCUUAGUCGGAUUCUAUGUUCGUUUAGACGAUUUUGAAAUACUUUUUCAAUCUUCAUUCGAGUUGGUUUUCAAGAUUUUCUCAUCUUCUAUUCUCGAUUGAGUUUGAAAUGAAUAAAGUUUUAAAUCAAAGCAUUUCACUCUAUUUUUCAUUUUAAUCUCAUUCGAUUAUAUGUCAUAUGUUUUUAUCCACCGUUCACUUGAAUCCCUUUCUUAAGAGAACCAAACUCUGCUUUCUUUGAUCAGCCCUUUUUGCUGUUAUGGUAGAGCAUCUUGGAUGAAAGAAGAUCAUGUUUGAUGGAUCUAUUGAGUCUUAUUUGAAGCGGAUUCAGAAGAGUUGGCACCUUCGUAGCGGUCCAACAAAGUGUCUACCUGAAAUCUGACACAUGCUUCCUCUGAUGUACUUUCCGGUGAACUAGAACCUCUAUGUUUAUGUAGUCACGACUUUGGUGAAAGUCAACCUCAUUCAAGUGGUUUCAAUUUGGAAGAUCUAGCCUUUGCUUAAUGAUUUUGUUUCUCUUUCAUCUGGCGGAGGAGUAGACGUUGAGAUCUCGACGAAGAAAUGGCGGCUCAUUUCAACAUUUUUCAGGAAGGACACAUUGCAUCUACAUUGAAGAAGAAGACCAAAACACAUGUUCCUUUUUAUGUUUCUCUAAAUUUGUUGAGCUAUUUGGGCUUAUGUAUGAAGCUUAAAGAUUGACCAAAAAAAAGAGUGCAUUACUCUAUCGGCCACGUUUUUGUUUGUUUUCCUUCAUUUUGAGUCACUUUCCAUUUAGAAGGCACAUUCACGAAGAAUGAGAAAGGUUGUGAACUCUUUUGGCCUUAAUGAAACAAAACUGAAUGUGAGACUCGUUAAAACAAAUUUAGGUUAUAAGUGGAAUUUAGGUUUAUUUAGCUUUUAGGCAUUAAUUAGGUUAGAUCUCUAGAUAAAUGGGCUUCUAUAAGAGACACAAGAUCGUAAAGCAGAAGGUUAAUCCAAACUGUUCACAUUAAAACAUAAGUAUAGUAAUUAUUUAAAAAAGUUUUUUUUACCCCAUCAUGUUUUUUGCUUUAUUAUUUUGUUAUCGAAUUGUAAAAUCAUAUAUACCAUAUGAAAUAAAAAUACUUUUUCUUUAUUUUGAUAUCCAUAUAUAUAUACUUUAAUAUUAUAUAAAAUCUUAAUUUGUUAAAUACUAGUUUUAAGGACAUAAAAAGUGUGGAUAUGGAAAACAUGGAUAGAAGACGUGGGGACAUAGAGAAUAUAGAAAAAGGUUUUGUUGAGUAGGGAAAUAUGGAUGAGAAAGUUUUUUUUGUUCACAACUACUGCAUUUCACUUAACUUAAAAAUGGGUUCAUUACAAAAGCUCGGAGAGCUUGUUUUGCAAGACCAUCCUCAAAACAGAGAGAGGAUCGAUUGACAUAAUGAAAGGAAGCCAAAUCAAAUUGAGCAGAUAAAAGAUUGAUACCGGCAAGGAUUGCAUGGAGAUCAGAGAUGGGGAGUCGAUCAACAAUUGCUGACACUAACUGUAGAGAGUCCGAUUCAAAUAUCACCUUCCUUAGCUGCAAGGCGAUUGCAUGUUCCAUCGCCGAUUGUACUACUAGUCCUUCUGCCACGAGAGACGAGCUUACGUACGCCAUAGAGUCACUGUGAGAGUAAAGUCUCUCAUUUCGAUUAUCGGAGAAGCUCCACGCCACUCCAUCUGCCAUGUGUUCCUUAUUCCAAGCUGCAUCUGACCUACCAAUCACCUCGGUAACCGAGGAUUGCUGGCCCCGGGAUGGAUUUUGAUUAGGAGAUUGGUGCGAUUAUCCAUGUGGCCAAAGGGAAGUUAUAAAGUCCGGUAGGUGAGAGUGUAAUGGCUUUCAAUGCCAACUUCCAACAAUCAUUGAAGGAGCUCAGAGGCAGUGGAUCAAAUCCGCCUAAAACAGGUACCAAUUCCCAUACUUUUUGUGCAAAAGGACAUUGAAAUAGAUGUAGAAUCGAUUCAGAUCCGUCACAAUGAAUGCACUUUGCGUUAGGUAGGAUAUGUCUUCUCAUCAGUAUAUCUCCGAUUGGGAUUCCUCCAUGCUUAAUCUUCCAAAUUAGUAAUUUCAACUUAGGAGCUAUAGGUAGUUUCCAUACGUCUUCUAUCCAGUUUUGGGCCGGUGUUAGAGUCUCUAAGACUGAGGAAAGGUGAUUCUCGAGAGCUGCAUAAUAACCUGUCUUUACUGAGUAGGAACCUGGUUGGUGAUUCAACCAGUAUAUCUCUGCGAAGUAAGGGGAAUAGCCGUUCGACUUUCUCGAUAUCCCUUUCUCAAGAUUGGUCUUUGAAUAGUUCUGAAACUUUGAACUCCGAGGAAGCUUCAGUGGCAGGGCCCAUAGGGCAUACUCUUGCGUUUGAAGACAGACAUGGUUCUCUCCAAAUUCUAGCGUCUUGGCCAUCUACAAUUACCCAUCCUAGGUGUUCUUUUUAAAGAUACUCCCAAUUAGGAUCCCUCUCUAACCAUGUUAGCACAAAGAUGGAGUUGGAGCUUGAAGGAAGUAUUGAUCGUGUAUAUACUUUCCUGUGAGUACUCGAGCUAGUAAGCAUGAGGGUGGGGAUAGGAUUCUCCAACUGGUCUUGGCUAGGAAGGCGUCAUUAAAGCUCUGAAUAUCUCUUAUACCUAGUCAUCCAUCUUUCUUAGACUUCACCAUAGUGGUCCAUGCAAUCCAUUCUCCUAUUGUCCGGUGACGAGUCCAUAUUGAGUGUGUGUGGAUGGAUAUUUGUGGACAGUUAUUUGUAGACGAGUAUGCAUAAAAAGCAUGUCCAUAUGUCAAUGUGGAUGGUUAUUUGUUGACAGUAAUUUGUAGACAAGAUAACCCCCGCAACACCGCUGUUCGAAUCAUCA